UACGAAGGGGGCUAGCGUUGCUCGGAAUCACUGGGCGUAAAGCGCACGUAGGCGGAUUGUUAAGUCAGGGGUGAAAUCCUGGAGCUCAACUCCAGAACUGCCUUUGAUACUGACGAUCUCGAGUCCGGGAGAGGUGAGUGGAACUGCGAGUGUAGAGGUGAAAUUCGUAGAUAUUCGCAAGAACACCAGUGGCGAAGGCGGCUCACUGGUCCGGUACUGACGCUGAGGUGCGAAAGCGUGGGGAGCGAACAGG
rnacentral:rRNA from 1 species